AUAGCGUAUAUUAAAGUUGUUGCAGUUAAAAAGCUCGUAGUUGAACUUCAGACCUGACCGGGCGGUCCGCCUAACGGUGUGUACUGUCUGGCCGGGCCUUACCUCUUGGUGAGCCGGCAUGCCCUUCACUGGGUGUGUCGGGGAACCAGGACCUUUACCUUGAGAAAAUUAGAGUGUUCAAAGCAGGCUUACGCCGGAAUACAUUAGCAUGGAAUAAUAAAAUAGGACGUGCGGUUCUAUUUUGUUGGUUUCUAGAGUCGCCGUAAUGAUUAAUAGGGAUAGUUGGGGGCAUUAGUAUUCAGUUGCUAGAGGUGAAAUUCUUGGAUUUACUGAAGACUAACUACUG
rnacentral:rRNA from 1 species